AUAGCGUAUAUUAAAGUUGUUGCAGUUAAAAAGCCCGUAGUCGAACUUCAGACCUGGCCGGGCGGUCUGCCUCACGGUACGUACUGUCCGGCUGGGCCUUACCUCUUGGUGAGCCGGCAUGCCCUUCACUGGGUGUGUUGGGGAACCAGGACUUUUACCUUGAGAAAAUUAGAGUGUUCAAAGCAGGCCUAUGCCCGAAUACAUUAGCAUGGAAUAAUAGAAUAGGACGUGCGGUUCUAUUUUGUUGGUUUCUAGAGUCGCCGUAAUGAUUAAUAGGGACAGUUGGGGGCAUUAGUAUUGAGUUGCUAGAGGUGAAAUUCUUGGAUUUACUCAAGACUAACUACUG
rnacentral:rRNA from 1 species